GAUGAACGCUGACAGAAUGCUUAACACAUGCAAGUCAACUGUGGCGGACGGGUGAGUAACGCGUAAAGAACUUGCCUCACAGAUAGGGACAACAUUUGGAAACGAAUGCUAAUACCUGAUACUGUGAGAGAGCUUUGCGUCCCAUUAGCUAGUUGGAGCGGUAACGGCUCACAAAGGCAGUGAUGGGUAGCCGGCCUGAGAGGGUGAUCGGCCACAAGGGGACUGAGACACGGACCUUACGACGACGGGAGGCAGCAGUGGGGAAGAUUGGACAAUGGACCAAAGUCUGAGCCAGCAAUUCGGUGGGAACGAUGAAGUUUUCGGAAUGUAAAGUGCUUUCAGUUGGGAAGCGGUACCAACAGAAGAAGGGACGGCUAAAUACGUGCCAGCAGCCGCGGUAAUAC
rnacentral:rRNA from 1 species